UAUCUGCAGUCGAGGGGCAGCGCAGUGUAGCAAUACAUGGGCGGCGACCGGCAAACGGGUGCGGAACACGUACGCAACCUUCCCAAAACUGGUGAAUAGCCUUUCGAAAGAGAGAUUAAUACACCGUAACUUAAUGAAGUGGCAUCACUUUAUUAAUAUAGCUCCGGCGGUUUUGGAUGGGCGUGCGGCUGAUUAGGUAGUUGGCGGGGUAACAGCCCACCAAGCCUACGAUCAGUAACUGGUGUGAGAGCACGACCAGUCACACGGGCACUGAGACACGGGCCCGACUCCUACGGGAGGCAGCAGUAAGGAAUAUUGGUCAAUGGACGCAAGUCUGAACCAGCCAUGCCGCGUGGAGGAUGAAGGUCCUCUGGAUUGUAAACUUCUUUUAUCGGAGAAGAAACCCUAGAAUUCUUUCUGGGUUGACGGUACCCGAUGAAUAAGCACCGGCUAACUCCGUGCCAGCAGCCGCGGUAAUACGGAGGGUGCAAGCGUUAUCCGGAUUCACUGGGUUUAAAGGGAGCGUAGGUGGGAUGGUAAGUCAGUGGUGAAAUCUCCGGGCUUAACUCGGAAACUGCCGUUGAUACUAUCGUUCUUGAAUAUUGUGGAGGUAAGCGGAAUAUGUCAUGUAGCGGUGAAAUGCUUAGAUAUGACAUAGAACACCGAUAGCGAAGGCAGCUUGCUACACAAUUAUUGACACUGAGGCUCGAAAGCGUGGGGAUCAAACAGGAUUAGAUACCCUGGUAGUCCACGCCCUAAACGAUGGAUACUCGACAUACGCGAUACACAGUGUGUGUCUGAGCGAAAGCAUUAAGUAUCCCACCUGGGAAGUACGACCGCAAGGUUGAAA
rnacentral:rRNA from 1 species